rnacentral:rRNA from 1 species
CGCGUAGGCGGAUGUUUAAGUCAGAGGUGAAAGCCCAGGGCUCAACCUUGGAACUGCCUUUGAUACUGGACAUCUUGAGUAUGGGAGAGGUGAGUGGAACUCCGAGUGUAGAGGUGAAAUUCGUAGAUAUUCGGAAGAACACCAGUGGCGAAGGCGACUCACUGGCCCAUUACUGACGCUGAGGCGCGAAAGCGUGGGGAGCAAACAGGAUUAGAUACCCUGGUAGUCCACGCUGUAAACGAUGAGUGCUAGUUGUCGGUGUGCAUGCACAUCGGUGACGCAGUUAACGCAUUAAGCACUCCGCCUGGGGAGUACGGUCGCAAGAUUAAA